rnacentral:lncRNA from 11 species
UCCCUCUAGGACUGCUGACUGUAGGUUUGGGCCCCAGAUACGUUUUGGAGGUGAAAUGGGCCCCCUCAUCAGUAUCAGAUGUGUGUGACAGGUGGGUUCAAGUUAGGUAAUUACAUCAGGCAGUGGUAGCUUUCAGCCAAGCAGGAAAGGAAUUCCUGGCUGUGCUUGGUGGCAUCUGAGGAAAAGGGUUUUCUAACACUCUCCCUCCUUCCAGAUGUCCUGCAGACUAGGAAAGGAUUUUGGAGCCUGGAGCAUUCCUGGUAUCAUGGAAGGAGACGGGAAGAGCUUUUUAAGUGAAAGAGAAAAAAGCCUUUUGCUUCAUUGGGGUCAACGUUGGUUAUUCAUGCCAGUCGUGCCAAGUUUUUGCUCCAAGUUUCCAAGUGGAUGUCUAGUUUUGUGGUUCCUGUUUUGCCAAG